rnacentral:rRNA from 1 species
GGUUGAUCCUGCCAGUAGUCAUAUGCUUGUCUCAAAGAUUAAGCCAUGCAUGUCUAAGUAUAAGCUUGUUUAUACGGCGAGACUGCGGAUGGCUCAUUAAAUCAGUUAUAGUUUAUUUGAUGGUCUCUUUUGUUUCUCUUUUUUACCUACUUGGAUAACCGUGGUAAUUCUAGAGCUAAUACAUGCGUAAGGUCCCAAGCGCGGGGCGGGCGGGGCGUCAAAACCUCGUCCGUUCGCAUGCGCGGCGGGAUGUAUUUAUUAGGUUAAAAACCAGCACAUUUAAAUUCCAUA